UUGAGUGGCUUAUAUUCAGCUGGUUCACCUCGACGCCGGUGGAUGUAGACGUGCACUUUUCCUGUCGCCGUACACUGUGUAACAUGAAAAUAUCAGCUGACCCCUUGUGAAAUUUCCUAACUGAUCAAAACCAAACUGUAAAGACUUUGGUCAAGGGGAGACAUAUGGUAAGAUUACAUGAAUUCAAAAUAACCUACAAUUCCUUCAAAUUAAUUUGAAGCCAGUUUAAUUUUUUGAGCCAGCUUUGACAUCUGCAGAUAUGAGUUUCUGAAGAGGGGCCUGCUGAGGUUAGAUGUGCUGAAUAAUAUCCAUUUUCAUAUCAGAAAAAACACUGCAUUAAACAUUGUCUUAGCUCACUGAGCUGAGGUCAACAGGUAAUAUAACCAACCUGUGAGGUGGCUCACCCCCGUAAGAUAAACACAUAAAUGAUCCCUGAUAGAACCGAUAAUUAAAGGCACAUCAGUGACAGGGAAUGCUAUUAAAACUAAACUAUAAACUGGUGACAUUAACUGCAAAAGAAGAUUUUUAUUGAUACAUUUCAGGUAGAAUUUAGUUUUCAAUAAGGGAAACUGUGUAAGAAACCUGAAUUUGUUGCAACAAAUUUAAAAUAAAAGCUUUUAUGCUAAUUAUUUUCUGUGAUAAUAUUUUUCAGAGCUCAUCAUCUGUGACAGCUCAUGGCUCUCUUGACUGUAACCUCCCUGUGGCAGCUUCUCACAGACUCAAUCAACUCCUCUUCCCCUCCCCCCUCAGACACACACAGACACACACACACAGAGACCCCCUUCCAAAAACCCAUCAAAGAGUAAUACAAUGGCUCCAUCUGUAGGAUAAAGUAGAGAGUCGCAACAGGAAGUUACCCCAAAAUCUGAGGUUUCAAACAGGAAGUUGGGUUUCUGAACUUUGACGGGCCAGAACAGGCACACGCUUCGACCAAAACUCACAAUUUUCGGAGGACUUCUUCCAAAAAUUGUCAAGGAGGGGCUGACAACAUUUGAAGUGAAUCUGGUCACCCGUCUAGAAACUGGACAUCACACUAUAAAAUAUGUCAUUUCCUGCUAUAAAUAGGUGGUGCUACAACAAUUGUAUGAAUAUUGACAUAUGGAUGUGUGCAGAUAGGUACCAUUAACAAUCCUGUAAAGUUUGAUGCAGUUUGGACAAAGUAUGGCCGAAAUAUAGCAAAUUUAAAGCAACUUCCUGUUUUGUGGCGAGUGAUCGAACUUUCAGGGGCCAUAACUUCCACGCCCUUCAAUGAAAAGUCCGAAACUUUUGCAAUUUAACUUCGUCUAUGUCUUAAGAACAAAUUAUCAAAUUUUGAAGUCAAUCGGAUAAUGCGUCUAGGACUAGUUCGCGUUCAAGCGACCCCUGGAAAUGGCCAAAAACACACAAUUUUUUCACCUUCCGGUCAAAAUAAAAAUACUUUCUGUUGGGUUUAGAAUAUGGCUCCAAGAGACUUUUUGGUGCGUCAUGGGAUGUUACAUAUGUGUGCAGAUUUUCAGAUUUUUAGGCGCAACGGGCUUGAGGGGCUGUUCCGUUUAAAAAUGUAGGUGGCGCUACCGAGGCCAUUUUGCCACACCCAUGCUCAAGACCCCUAAAUUAUUAAAUUUUUCGCCGUGCCUGACGCGUCUGCAAAUUUUCAGGAGUUUUGACGCAUGUUAAGGCCCUCAAAAAGGCGAUCAAAGAGGCGGAAAAAGAAGAAAAAAAAUAAUAAUAAUAAUAAUUAAAGCUGCGAGCAGCGUUGAACGGGCCCUCGCACCCGGCGUCCGUCGGGGGAGCGGCGACCGCGGGACCCCGGCAACCGCGGGGUCAACGCAGGUCGCAGGGCACACGCUGGCGUAACAGUUCACACUUCCCAGAUGUAAAAAUUUUAAAUAAAAGCUUUUAUGCUAAUUAUUUUCUGUGAUAAUAUUAUUCAGAGCUCAUCAUCUGUGACAGAUCAUGGCUCUAUUGACUGUAACCUCCCUGUGGCAGCUUCUCACAGACUCAAUCAACUCCUCUUCCCCUCCCCCCUCAAACACACACACACAGACACACACACACAGAGACCCCCUUCCAAAAACCCAUCAAAGAGUAAUACAAUGGCUCCAUCUGUAGGAUAAAGUAGAGAGUCGCAACAGGAAGUUACCCCAAAAUCUGAGGUUUCAAACAGGAAGUUGGGUUUCCGAACUUUGACGGGCCAGAACCGGCACACGCUUCGACCCAAACUCACAAUUUUCGGAGCCAGUCUUCCAAAAAUCCUUAAGUCUGUCCUGACAACAUUUGAAGUGAAUCUGGUCACCCGUCUAGAAACUGGACAUCACACUAUAAAAUAUGUCAUUUCCUGCUAUAAAUAGGUGGUGCUACAACAAUUGUAUGAAUAUUGACAUAUGGAUGUGUGCAGAUAGGUACCAUUAACAAUCCUGUAAAGUUUGAUGCAGUUUGGACAAAGUAUGGCCGAAAUAUAGCAAAAAUAAAGCAACUUCCUGUUUCGUGGCGAGUAAUCGAACUUUGAGGGGCCAUAACUUCCACGCCCUUCAACAAAAACUCAAAAUCUGCCGCAAUUUAACAUCGUCUAUGUCUUAAGAACAUACUAUUAAGUUUUGAAGUCAAUCGGAUAAUGCGUCUAGGACUAGUUCGCGUUCAAGCGACCCCUGGAAAUGGCCAAAAACACACAAUUUUUUCACCUUCCGGUCAAAAUAAAAAUACUUUCUGUUGGGUUUAGAAUAUGGCUCCAAGAGACUUUUUGGUGCGUCAUGGGAUGUUACAUAUGUGUGCAGAUUUUCAGAUUUUUAGGCGCAACGGGCUUGAGGGGCUGUUCCGUUUAAAAAUGUAGGUGGCGCUACCGAGGCCAUUUUACCACACCCAUGCUCAAGACCCCUAAAUUAUUAAAUUUUUCGCCGUGCCUGACGCGUCUGCAAAUUUUGGUAAGUUUUCACGCAUGUUAAGGCCCUCAAAAAGCCGAUCUAAGAGGCGGAAAAAGAAGAAAAAAAAUAAUAAUAAUAAUAAUAAUAAUAAUUAAAGCUGCGAGCAGCGUUGAACGGGCCCUCGCACCCGGCGCCCGUCGGGGGAGCGGCGACCGCGGGACCCCGGCAACCGCGGGGUCAACGCAGGUCGCAGGGCACACGCUGGCGUAACAGUUCACACUUCCGAGAUGUAAAAAUUUCAAAUAAAAGCUUUUAUGCUAAUUAUUUUCUGUGAUAAUAUUUUUCAGAGCUCAUCAUCUGUGACAGCUCUUGGCUCUCCUGACUGUAACCUCUCUGUGGCAGCUUCUCACAGACUCAAUCAACUCCUCUUCCCCUCCCCCCUCAAACACAAACACAAACACAAACACACACACACACACACAGAUACCCCCUCCCAAAAGGAGAUAAAACUCAGUUUUAACUUGAGUUUACAAGCUUUGAGCUUUGAGCAAAAGCAUUUUUUUGCAAGUUCUGUUAUUGGGUGCAUAUAUAAAUCAUUUAUGCUUAAACAAGGGUUAUAAUGAAGUUAUUUGAACAGUGAAUAUCUCAUCUGCCUAAAGUCAGGGCGAAGCCACUAACCAGCUGUAGGGAUGGGUAUCAUUAGGAUUUUAUCUUUAUCCAUACAGACCCCUAUCAGUCCAGCUCAGACUGUUACUGGUUUAAGAGAGUGAAGUUUAUAGCAAUUUGCAAAAUUUGGAGAUUAGUGACAAACUAACCAGUUAGACUACAUACAGACAAGCUUUCAUUUUAGCUGUUAGUAACAGUUUGCCAUGAGCUUAACCAGCGUGCUGUGCUUCGUGUUAAACAUGUCAUGAGACUGUGGACAACGUUUGAGCCAGCUUUGACAUCUGCAGAUAUGAGUUUCUGAAGAGGGGCCUGCUGAGGUUAGAUGUGCUGAAUAAUAUCCAUUUUCAUAUCAGAAAAAACACUGCAUUAAACAUUGUCUUAGCUCACUGAGCUGAGGUCAACAGGUAAUAUAACCAACCUGUGAGGUGGCUCACCCCCGUAAGAUAAACACAUAAAUGAUCCCUGAUAGAACCGAUAAUUAAAGGCACAUCAGUGACAGGGAAUGCUAUUAAAACUAAACUAUAAACUGGUGACAUUAACUGCAAAAGAAGAUUUUUAUUGAUACAUUUCAGGUAGAAUUUAGUUUUCAAUAAGGAAAAUGCUGUAAGAAACCUGAAUUUGUUGCAACAAAUUUAAAAUAAAAGCUUUUAUGCUAAUUAUUUUCUGUGAUAAUAUUUUUCAGAGCUCAUCAUCUGUGACAGCUCUUGGCUCUCCUGACUGUAACCUCCCUGUGGCAGCUUCUCACAGACUCAAUCAACUCCUCUUCCCCUCCCCCCUCAAACACACACACACAGACACACACACACAGAGACCCCCUUCCAAAAACCCAUCAAAGAGUAAUACAAUGGCUCCAUCUGUAGGAUAAAGUAGAGAGUCGCAACAGGAAGUUACCCCAAAAUCUGAGGUUUCAAACAGGAAGUUGGGUUUCCGAACUUUGACGGGCCAGAACCGGCACACGCUUCGACCCAAACUCACAAUUUUCGGAGGACUUCUUCCAAAAAUUGUCAAGGAGGGGCUGACAACAUUUGAAGUGAAUCUGGUCACCCGUCUAGAAACUGGACAUCACACUAUAAAAUAUGUCAUUUCCUGCUAUAAAUAGGUGGCGCUACAACAAUUGUAUGAAUAUUGACAUAUGGAUGUGUGCAGAUAGGUACCAUUAACAAUCCUGUAAAGUUUGAUGCAGUUUGGACAAAGUAUGGCCGAAAUAUAGCAAAAAUAAAGCAACUUCCUGUUUCGUGGCGAGUAAUCGAACUUUGAGGGGCCAUAACUUCCACGCCCUUCAACAAAAACUCAAAAUCUGCCGCAAUUUAACAUCGUCUAUGUCUUAAGAACAUACUAUUAAGUUUUGAAGUCAAUGGGAUAAUGCGUCUAGGACUAGUUCGCGUUCAAGCGACCCCUGGAAAUGGCCAAAAACACACAAUUUUUUCACCUUCCGGUCAAAAUAAAAAUACUUUCUGUUGGGUUUAGAAUAUGGCUCCAAGAGACUUUUUGGUGCGUCAUGGGAUGUUACAUAUGUGUGCAGAUUUUCAGAUUUUUAGGUGCAACGGGCUUGAGGGGCUGUUCCGUUUAAAAAUGUAGGUGGCGCUACCGAGGGCAUUUUACCACGCCCAUGCUCAAGACCCCUAAAUUAUUAAAUUUUUCGCCGUGCCUGACGCGUCUGCAAAUUUUGGUAAGUUUUCACGCAUGUUAAGGCCCUCAAAAAGCCGAUCUAAGAGGCGGAAAAAGAAGAAAAAAAAUAAUAAUAAUAAUAAUAAUAAUAAUAAUAAUAAUAAUAAACAGACCGAAAACAAGAGGGUCCUUGCAACUCGUUGCAUGGCCCCGUUGGGCCCACGCAACUCGUUGCUCGGGCCCUAAUAAUAAUAAUAAACAGACCGAAAACAAGAGGGUCCUUGCAACUCGUUGCAUGGCCCCGUUGGGCCCACGCAACUCGUUGCUCGGGCCCUAAU